rnacentral:misc_RNA from 1 species
UGUACUGUGUGAAUGAGUCUGUAGAGAUACUGUUCCAUGCAUGGCUGUAGACUCGCCUGUGUGAUAAACUUAUAUAUAACUAUAAAUGAUUUGGAUUAUAGUAGAAUGAACAGGAUAUAGGAACAAUUUGUGGUACUUUUUACAGUUUUAGACUAUGGAUAAACAUUAUGAAAUAAUUCUUUAUUCUCUAUCAGAAGAACUUAUGAAAUCUGGCCUAUCAGCAAAUGCUGAUCAUCUUUAAAGUUUCAUCGACAUAAUAUGCAUGAUUUAUUUUCAUAAAAUGGCUGAUCAGCUGUCUGGAAUCACUGUUGUUAUUUUUAUAGCUUUUGGUGUUUUGACUUGCAUAUUGCUGUUUUUGUUCGGAAAAAGACAAAUAGCAAGAUUUUCUCUGAAAACUAGGAAAGGUCCUCACAUGCCAGUUGGAUACAGUGCCUCAAAGUUUGUAUAUAUGGAGAUUGAGAGAAGACUAGAACGAGUUAAAAAUAUCACACAUGAACCAGUUCUAUUAAAAGAGGAAGAGGACUUAUUGUUUAAAACUUUUAAACCAAUUUUUCCAAUGCAUCUGUACAGAAUGAAAGCUGUUGAUACCUUGAUAAAGUUGGAAAAUUGUUUAAAAGAUGCAGAUCCCACAUAUCAGCGAUUUCAAGGUCAGGAUCUUUGUAUGUCUUUGUUGCAAGCUGUACAUAAAGGAGUUCUGAAAAAUUGUGAUCCCAAGCCAAUUCGUCAGUUUGUUGACUUGUAUCAAAGUGCUAGGCAUGCUCCAAAGAUAUUUGAUCAAGAGCAAUUUAGUGAGUACAUGAAGCUUCUUUCAUUUAUUUUGAACAGAUUUUCGUUUUAUCCUUUGUGAUCUUAUAAAAACCAAACAGACUUGGAUCAGACUGGUUUAUUAAAAGACAAACUUCUGAGCCAGGAACAAGGCUUGAACUAUCACCUAAGGUGAAUUAGCUCAAAGAUAUCUUAAGGUCUUCUACCUGCAGUGUGGCAAAAAUGUAUACAAUGACCUCAGGGCAUGGGAGGUGGGAGUUACAAAAACCAGAUCUUCUUGUUGACUUCAGAUCCAGCCCACUUCCUUCCCCGGGGUUUUUCACAAUCUAAGAUAUCGUAAUUUAACUGACUUUGUCGUAAUAGCUUGGGCCUGGACUGUCUGUAUUUUUUGUUCCAAUCUGGUCCACAUCUGACCAACUAUCUAAUUUUUAGUAUAUCUGUUACCUUUCUUUGUAAAUAAACUACUGAGGUAAACAAGUUGGUCUGUUAUUUUUCACAUUAAAGAUGUCAUUUUGAUAGGCAAAUUUCUUAAAAAAACAAUACAAUACUAUACCUUUAUAAAGUAUCUUGUUCUAUAUUAGUCUUGUAAAAUCUUUUGUUUAUAUUAAUCUUGCAGUAAUGUGCUGUUUAAUAAGCUACUGUAUAUAAAUUUGAAUAACCUGGAAGUUAUCAUAUGUCAAUGCCCAUUAGAGGUACUAUUUGUCAAUUUGAUUUACUUUAUCUCAUUAAUGCAGGCUUAUUACAAGUCAGUGUUAUGUAUUUGGAAAGGAAGUUAAGGAAAACAUAUCACAGAAAUAUUACACUGUAUCAUACCAAGAGUACAAUAACAGAAAUCUGCAAUUCUAAAUGAUUGCUCUACAUUAAAUAUAUCAGUAUAACAAAUGGUAGUUAAUUAGAGGAAAAUAUGAUAUAUAUUAAAAGGAAAUAAAAGUUAUUGAUAUAAUGAAGACAAGUGUAGAAGUUACACACAUAGUAUGUUCUACUAUGGUUUGUAGAAAGUUAGUUAAAAUAUGCAGCAAACUACAUGUUAUAGCUAGUAUGAAAAUGAGUUUAACUUAAGCUAUACUACGUGUACAAAUUUCAUUCUAGCAUAAUAAUUACAUAUUCGGAAGAGGAAGUUGCUUGCCGACACUUGAGUUUCAAAAACCCACAAAUUCUUCCUAAUUUAAAUAAAUGUUUGUGACACUUAGAAACAAAUUUAUUUUGUACAUUACCAACUUUUUAGUAGAGUUUCUAUUUUAGAUUACAAAUAUU